AUGAUGACUCGCCAAACCCCGUGACGGCCGGAACUUACAUAGUAGAUACCUAGGUGGUACUCUUUCCACACGUGCACCUAUCCGGGAUUUCUCGAGAAUACGCUGUGACUGAAGUGUUUGUAUUUAUCUAACUCUCGUUUAUUUUUCUCAGACAAGCAACAGAGCAGCCAUUCCCCGAAGUUGAAUGAGCCCAAAGAUCGAAUCCCGAAUAAUACUUACGUAACCCAGGCCAAAAACACCCGUUGAACUCCAAUAAAACCACUAAGAAAAUAAAAAUGAAAAAAACCCCGAUCAGGCCAGCGAACAGCGAUUUGGGCGCUGAUUUUUUUUUUUUUUAUUUCCACGACACAGAAGAAGCCGACAGAAGAGCAGACAGAAUAUGCAGCCACCGACACUCGCGGGCAGCGGCCAAUAGCAUCGACGCCCCGGACCUCAGCCCACUGCAAGCCCACUGCAGCCAACUGCAGCCAGGCGGCAGGUAGGGCGGCCGUUGCUUGCGCGACGCUUUUUGGCCCAGUGUGACUUGCCUGCUUGAUCAGCAGCGAUGAUGAUGUCAACCAUAAGGUCCAUAACGAGUUGAGUUAGUUCGUUGGUUGGUUAGUCGACUUGACUAACUCAGUCUUCCCCCAGAUGACAGCCUGCGUCCAAAGAACUGUGGGACGUCUAAGUGGUUGUAUUAGCAUGUCGGCAGCUGAGGCAUAUAUGUGCGGUGCGCUAGUCCGUGAUGGGCAGCCUAGGGCCAACACCUCCCCUCGGACUAGCAGCCGUACAGAUAUCUAUCUAUCUAGAAAUUCUAUUAUACAUGAAAUCAAACAAAUCAAAUCAAAUCAAAUCAAAUCAAAUCAAAUCUAUCUAUCCUUCUAUCCUUCACCCUUUCGGCAUCUGUGAGGCUUCGGUUCGUGGUAGUGUCGAUGUUUGAGAGGUUCUCUGAUGGCAGUAGUGGUGGUGGUGGUAUUCUUAAUGAUGGAUCUCAUCAUGGUCAUCUUUGUGGUGGCUCUGGUGGUGAUUCUUAUGGUGAUAGAGAUGGUUCUCACAGAGAGUUCUUUGGUGGUUCUUGCAGGGGGUUCUUUGAUGGUUGGUUCUUCAGAGGGUUCUUCAGUAGAUGGAGGAGCAGUGACAGUGGCUUGUGUAGCCAGUUUCAUCUCAUCCUCCCCUUGUUUGAUAUCCUCUUGAUCUCUUGACAGAGAAUCAGAGUUUUCAGCUGAUUUUUGUAAGGAUUUUCCCAUCCUUCUGUCCCAAUAUUCAUUCAUUCUCUUCAGACAUUCAUCUUGCUUUUUCAAAUAUUCAUCUUGCUUUUUCAAAUAUCCCAUCAUCAUCUGUAUCAAGGUAUCGGUCGUUGGUGUUGGGCCUGGUGGCCCAGGGGUAGUGGUAGGUUCGUAUUCAUCAUUGCUAGCUGGGGUAUCCAUCCCCAUGGUAGCUCGAGUUCUAGGAGGCAUUCUCCCCCCUAUAUCAAUCAAUUUUUAAUCAUUUCCCGCGAUCAAAGCUCUUCUAGCCUUCGUCAGGAUCCCUUCUGCUGAUCAGCGUAGCAGCUCGCGAGACGUUAGAUGGGC
rnacentral:sRNA from 2 species